UACGGGGGGUGCAAGCGUUGUCCGGAAUCAUUGGGCGUAAAGCGUUCGUAGGCUGUUUGUCAAGUCUGGUGUCAAAGCCCGGGGCUCAACUUCGGAUUCGCACUGGAUACUGGCAGACUAGAAUGUGGUAGAGGUAAAGGGAAUUCCUGGUGUAGCGGUGAAAUGCGUAGAUAUCAGGAGGAACAUCGGUGGCGAAAGCGCUUUACUGGGCCAUUAUUGACGCUGAGGAACGAAAGCCGGGGGAGCAAAU
rnacentral:rRNA from 1 species